GUGGAUUAGAUACCCUGGUAGUCCACGCCGUAAACGAUGGAUACUAGCUGUUGGGAGCAAUCUCAGUGGCUAAGCGAAAGUGAUAAGUAUCCCACCUGGGGAGUACGAACGCAAGUUUGAAACUCAAAGGAAUUGACGGGGGCCCGCACAAGCGGUGGAGCAUGUGGUUUAAUUCGAUGAUACGCGAGGAACCUUACCAAGGCUUAAAUGUAGAUUGACAGGUUUGGAAACAGACUUUUCUUCGGACAAUUUACAAGGUGCUGCAUGGUCGUCGACAACU
rnacentral:rRNA from 1 species